CAGCAGCCACGGGAAUACGUAGGUGGCAAGCGUUGUCCGGAAUUAUUGGGCGUAAAGCGCGCGCAGGCGGUUUCUUAAGUCUGAUGUGAAAGCCCCCGGCUUAACCUGGGAGGGUCAUUGGAAACUGGGAGACUUAGAGUGCAGAAGAGGAGAGUGGAAUUCCAUGUGUAGCGGUGAAAUGCGUAGAUAUAUGGAGGAACACCGGUGGCGAAAGCGGCUCUCUGGCUUGUAACUGACGCUGAGGCUCGAAAGCGUGGGGAGCAAACAGGAUUAGAUACCCCAGUAGUCCCUGUCUCUUAUA
rnacentral:rRNA from 1 species